rnacentral:misc_RNA from 1 species
GUUGUAUUGGGUAUUUUCGUCUUUUACUAUAGCCGGCGCUGGCGACACAGUGGCUUCUCCGAUGACAAGACUUAUAGAUCGGAUAACAGUAACAGAAUGCACCCAGCAUAUGCGGAUACCACAAACAGUAACCAUCACAAGCUAAGAACCACUUCAACCAGUUCUGAGUUUCUUUAUCUGGGUACUUUGGUUAAUUCACACACCACAGAUGAAGGUUCUAAUGCUCAUGAUAAUGUCAAUGUCGAGUCAGAUCCUCCGAAAUUGGAUUCUCCGGAGUUACUCCCGCUGCCACCGCUUAACAGGCAGAGUUCCAUGCAGAAUUUCGGGAAUGGAGAAGUGGGGUCUACUGCAGAUGAGGAGGACGAGUUUUACUCGCCAAGAGGGUCUCUGGGGGGUCAAGAGAGCUCGAGCGGCACAGGAUCGGGGUCUAGAAGAUUGUUUGCGUCCGUCGGUGAUCAGGAUUUUGAUGCAAGAAGCACUGCCUCAAGCUCGUGUUCGUCUUCUACUUCGGGCUCUCCUGCUCGGUCUCAGUCACUCAGUAUUUCUCCGCCAGGAAGUAGUCCACGACCAAAAUCUCCGGAAACUAGUGUUCUUGAGGCUUCUCCAGCAGCUUCUCCGCCUCCUGGCCCCCCGCCGCCGCCGCCGCCACCACCGCCACUAAUGCCACUCCAUAACGAGCGGAAAUCUCAAUCGCCGUUUCCGUCUGCGUCUGCCUCCCAUCCAGAUGAAUCGCCGAGAUUAUCGUUUAACUUGGAUCGAAACGCACAGUCUCCAUCAGUGUCCUCGGCUUUGUCAUCGCCCAACAGGAGUUUGGAGAAAAGCGCAGUUGCGUCACCGCGAAUUUUGAAUGAUUUGGAUAGAAAUGUGCGGUCUCCAUCCCUGUCCCCAGCAAGGAUAUUGAAUGUUUUGGAUCAAAAUAGGCAGUCACCUUCAUUAUCCUCUGUUUCUACAUCACCUGACAGAAAUUUGGAGAAAACUCCGAUUGCUUCUCCUAGAAUAUCGAAUGCGUUGGAUCGAGAAGUGAGGUCCCCAUUUCUGUCGUCUACUUCUACGUCGCCAGAGAGAAUUUUGGAGAAGACCCCGUCUUCAAGAAUAUCAAAUUAUUUGGAUCGAAAUGUGCACUCUCCUUUAUUGUCUUCAGCUUCUACUUCACCAGGAAGAGGUUUGGAUAAGAACCCACUUGCAUAUCCCAGAAUUUCAAAUGUUUCGGAUCAAAGUAAGAGGCCUUCUUCAGUGUCUUCAGCUUCUUCAUCGCCAGGUAAAGUUUUGGAAAAAAGCCCAGAUGCAUCACCAGUAAUGACUUCGAGUGUUUUUGGUCUAAAUGCCAGAAUUAGCAGUGUUUUAGGCCAGCCUAUUUCACUUCCACUACCGCAUCCUCCACCUCCACCUCCACCACCGCCACCACCACAA